rnacentral:misc_RNA from 1 species
GGAGGUAAAAGUCGUAACAAGGUUUCCGUAGGUGAACCUGCGGAAGGAUCAUUAUUGUAUAACCGAGGUGCGAGGGCUGUCGCUGACCCGAAAGGUCGUGCACGCCCGAGUGCCCUCACACACAUCCAUCUCACCCCUAUGUGCACCACCGCGUGGGUCCCCCUUUGGCUUGUUCGGAGGGGGGCUUACGCUUUCACACAAACUUUGUAUGCAGUGUAGAAUGUAUUUUUUGUUUUUGCGAUCACGCAAUCAAUACAACUUUCAACAACGGAUCUCUUGGCUCUC